rnacentral:rRNA from 1 species
GUGGGGAAUUUUGGACAAUGGGCGCAAGCCUGAUCCAGCAAUGCCGCGUGCAGGAAGAAGGCCUUCGGGUUGUAAACUGCUUUUGUACGGAACGAAAAGGCUCUGGCUAAUACCUGGAGCUCAUGACGGUACCGUAAGAAUAAGCACCGGCUAACUACGUGCCAGCAGCCGCGGUAAUACGUAGGGUGCGAGCGUUAAUCGGAAUUACUGGGCGUAAAGCGUGCGCAGGCGGUGCUGUAAGACAGGCGUGAAAUCCCCGGGCUCAACCUGGGAAUUGCGCUUGGGACUGCAGCGCUGGAGUGCGGCAGAGGGGGAUGGAAUUCCGCGUGUAGCAGUGAAAUGCGUAGAUAUGCGGAGGAACACCGAUGGCGAAGGCAAUCCCCUGGGCCUGCACUGACGCUCAUGCACGAAAGCGUGGGGAGCAAACAGGAUUAGAAACCCUUGUAGUCC